rnacentral:rRNA from 1 species
AGGAUGUAUCCAACGGAAAGCUAUAACACAGCCGAGACUGCUACCUUCAAACCGUCAUUAUCCACCCCGGAAAACUGAUGCUGGCCUGCAAACCGAAGCAAGCUCCGGCAAGCAAGUCUGACUUCAAGCGUUUCCCUUCCAACAAUUUCACGUACUGUUAACUCUCUUUCCAAAGUGCUUUUCAUCUUUCCCUCACGGUACUUGUUCGCUAUCGGUCUCUCGCCAAUAUUUAGCUUUAGAUGGAAUUUACCACCCAAUUUGAGCUGCAUUCCCAAACAACUCGACUCAUUGAAAGUGUAUCACAAAGCGCUGGGCGUCCGCACCAUAUACGGGGGUUUCACCACUAUGCCGCUGUAUUCCAACAGACUUGUGUGCGGUCCAACGCGGAAAACACUUCUAGAGAUUACAACUCGGACACCGAAGGUGCCAGAUUAUAAAUUUGAGCUCUUCCCGCUUCGCUCGCCGCUACUA